rnacentral:tRNA from 1 species
UGUCCCAUAGCCAAGCGGUAAGGCCUCUGACUCUGAAUCAGAUAUUUCGUUAGUUCGAAUCUAACUGGGACAGCCA